AGGAUUUUUGGUACGAGGCUAAGGUCAUACUGAACUUCAUUCUGGGCAUCUGACUUCCCAAAUUCUUUUGAUCCUUGCCUAUUCUUACGGGCCUAAGCACAUUCUUCCCUUUAUUCUUCCUCUCUUUUUUUUUCUGUUUCUCUUUCCUUUUCCUUUUAUUUCUUUUUCUCUUUCUGGACUUUUCUCUGUUUUGGGAUUUAGAUUUCCCAUUUUGCAUUUUCUUUGCACUAGUCCUGCCCAUAGGAUCCAUUACACCAUUCUCCCCUUCUUUUUUUGUUUUGCCCUUAAGUUCAGUUUUGACCGGGAUGGCUCAAAUUUAGGCAAAAUUAUAAGUGAAUUCAAAAGAAUUAUUAAGCUCAAAAUGGUUGCAAGUGAUAGAUGUAGGGUUGGUCAGUUUGGCUUAGUGGGCUUAAAGAAAGAAAAUGCCUAAAUCAUUCAAUACACCUAGACUGUGUACACAGGGUUCGACCAAGAAUCAAGGCAAGUUCUAGCAUUCCCCUUAAUCAAGAUGUCAAAAUUCACACAAUGAAAGAAAGAAUUGUUUUGGCAUAAAGUAACAAUUUAAAAGCUCAAAUCCUCACAAGGUAUGCCCAAUUCCCUAUCCAUCGUCC
rnacentral:lncRNA from 1 species